AGAGGGGCGGGUACGGAGGGGAGGAAGCCAUGGGGGAUAAGACUGGGUCGAGAGCACGGAGGAGUUUGCCCCACAUGUGGCGACGGUGUUGUUGUAUCCUGUGCUGUGACGUUCAUCCGCCGUCAUCCGCGUCAUCGCUCACCGCCCACCAUCCAAGGGCCGCCAGGAGGGUUGAUGAAGAAAUGAUGAUGGACGCCACCACCACCAAGACGCCGUGGCUUCCAAAUCCACCUUCACCCUCAACCACCACCUCGACCUUCACCGUGACGUCGCGCCUCAACCUUCUCCUCUGCCAUCUUUAACACCGCGACCAUCUGUCAUGCUCUCAACCUUUCCAACGCGUGAUUCGUCAAGAGGAAGACGCCAGGAACAUCAGCACUCCCAUUCGCCCCUUCUACAAAUCAUUCGGGGCGUGAGGCGACGUUCAGCUGCCAAGGACGCCAGCUUGUCUUCCUUCGUCAGCCACUCCGUCAGGCAGGAGCAGGAGGAGACGGGGCCAUGGCUAUACGAGUGACGGUGGCGCAUUUUCCUCAGUGUGUGUGUGUGUGUGUGUGUGUGUUGGGGGGAAGAGUAUGGGAGGUCAAGGAAAGUGGUAUAUGGUGGGGGAGGAGGAGAGAUGUGGAGGGAGGGAAUGGAAGUUAGAUGGGAGGAGAGGGAAUGGAGCGGGGAGAUGGAAAGAGAGGGAUUGGGAGGGGGGUUAAGUAAGAGACUCUUCCUCCUCCUCCUUAUUUCUCCAUAUCCUCGUAUUUUCCACAAAGUUUUCCCAGUCAUGUGUGAGGUGUGAAGUCACGCUUCUUUUACACACACACACACACACACACACACACACACACACACACACACACACACACACACACACACACACACACACACACACACUGUUUUUCCCACCCACCUUCCGUCCACAGAAUACCUCUUUCACAAGGGAAUAUUCGGAGGUGGGGUUAGGAGGGGGAAAGAGAGGGGAAGAGGUGUGUGUGUGU